AUAUAUUUUAUUAAAUGCACAUAUUGAAAAGCAAGGGAGAAUCCUCUGUCUUCUCACAAAACUCAACACAAAGACAGUCACUAAGAUGUUCUCCUAUCUGAAAUAUAAGCUACAGGAAUGACCACAGCUGCCAGAGAAGCACCUUAUACAAAAGGAAGACUGUCUGGGUAAGAG